rnacentral:rRNA from 1 species
CCUACGGGCGGCAGCAGUGGGGAAUAUUGCACAAUGGGCGCAAGCCUGAUGCAGCCAUGCCGCGUGUGUGAAGAAGGCCUUCGGGUUGUAAAGCACUUUCAGCGGGGAGGAAGGCGGUGAGGUUAAUAACCUCAUCGAUUGACGUUACCCGCAGAAGAAGCAGCGGCUAACGCCGUGCCAGCAGCCGCGGUAAUACGGAGGGUGCAAGCGUUAAUCGGAAUUACUGGGCGUAAAGCGCACGCAGGCGGUCUGUCAAGUCGGAUGUGAAAUCCCCGGGCUCAACCUGGGAACUGCAUUCGAAACUGGCAGGCUAGAGUCUUGUAGAGGGGGGUAGAAUUCCAGGUGUAGCGGUGAAAUGCGUAGAGAUCUGGAGGAAUACCGGUGGCGAAGGCGGCCCCCUGGACAAAGACUGACGCUCAGGUGCGAAAGCGUGGGGAGCAAACAGGAUUAGAUACCCGUGUAGUC